rnacentral:misc_RNA from 1 species
AACGCACGAGACCUGCGGACCUGCGGAGGGAUCAUUACCGAGUUCUCGCCCCUCGCGGGGUAGACCUCCCACCCACUGUGAUCACUACCGUCGUUGCUUUGGCGGGCCGCUGGGCCCAGCCCACCGCCGGCCCCGGCUGGCGCGUGCCCGCCAGAGGCCCUACAAACGCUGGAUAUCAGUGCCGUCUGAGUACACAUGUUAAUCGUUAAAACUUUCAACAAUGGAUCUCUAGAUCGGAAG